rnacentral:rRNA from 1 species
UGGGGAAUAUUGGACAAUGGGCGAAAGCCUGAUCCAGCCAUGCCGCGUGUGUGAAGAAGGUCUUCGGAUUGUAAAGCACUUUAAGUUGGGAGGAAGGGCAGUAAGCGAAUACCUUGCUGUUCUGACGUUACCGACAGAAUAAGCACCGGCUAACUCUGUGACAGCAGCCGCGGUAAUACAGAGGGUGCAAGCGUUAAUCGGAAUUACUGGGCGUAAAGCGCGCGUAGGCGGUUCGUUAAGUUGAAUGUGAAAGCCCCGGGAUCAACCUGGGAACUGCAUCUAAAACUGUCGAUCUAGAGUAUGGCAGACGGUCGUGGAAUUUCCUGUGUAGCGGUGAAAUGCGUAGAUAUAGGAAGGAACACCAGUGGCGAAGGCGACCACCUGGGCUCAUACUGACACUGAGGUGCGAAAGCGUGGGGAGCAAACAGG